rnacentral:rRNA from 1 species
GACGAACGCUGGCGGCGUGCUUAACACAUGCAAGUCGAACGGUGACCCACCUUCGGGUGGCGAUCAGUGGCGAACGGGUGAGUAACACGUGGGCAACCUGCCCCUGACUCUGGGAUAACUCCUCGAAAGAGGUGCUAAUACCGGAUACCACCUCCCUCGGCAUCGUGGGGGGUUGAAAGUUCUUCGGUCAGGGAUGGGCCCGCGGCCUAUCAGCUAGUUGGUGAGGUAACGGCCCACCAAGGCGACGACGGGUAGCCGGCCUGAGAGGGCGACCGGCCACACUGGGACUGAGACACGGCCCAGACCCCUACGGGAGGCAGCAGUGGGGAAUAUUGCGCAAUGGGCGAAAGCCUGACGCAGCAACGCCGCGUGAGGGAUGACGGCCUUCGGGUUGUAAACCUCUUUCAGCAGGGACGAAGCGAAAGUGACUGUACCUGCAGAAGAAGCGCCGGCUAACUACGUGCCAGCAGCCGCAGUAAAAC